CGAGCGUUAGCUUAAAACCCAAAAGACUUGGCGGUGCCCUAUACCACCUAGAGGAGCCUGUUCUAUAAUCGAUAAUCCCCGAUCAACCUCACCACCCCUUGCCCAUACCGCCUGUAUACCUCCGUCGUCAACUGACCCCUCAAGGGAAAUAGUUGGUUUAAUGGCUUAUCACCAGAAAGUCAGGUCAAGGUGCAGCGAAUGGGGUGGGAAGAAAUGGGCUACAUUCUCUACCUUUAGACUACACGAAAGAUCACUAUGAAACCUGAUUGGAAGGCGGAUUUAGCAGUAAAAAGAGACUAGAGCGCUCUUUUUAAGUUGGCCCUAGGGCGCGCACACACCGCCCGUCACCCUCUUCAACUCCAUAUUUUUGUAUUCCUAAUCCCCCUACAGGAGAAUAGAAGAGGCAAGUCGUAACAUGGUAAGUCCACCGGAAGGUGGACUUGG
rnacentral:rRNA from 1 species